AUUGAACGCUGGCGGCAGGCCUAACACAUGCAAGUCGAACGAGUGGCGGACGGGUGAGUAAUGUCUGGGAAACUGCCCGAUGGAGGGGGAUAACUACUGGAAACGGUAGCUAAUACCGCAUACCAUCGGAUGUGCCCAGGUGGGAUUAGCUAUUAGGUGGGGUAACGGAUCACCUAGGCGACGAUCCCUAGCUGGUCUGAGAGGAUGACCAGCCACACUGGAACUGAGAAGCGGUCCAGACUCCUACGGUAGGCAGCAGUGGGAAAUAUGGCACAAUGGGCAAAAGCCGGAUGCAGCCAUGCCGCGUGUAGGAAGAAGGCCUUCGGGUUGUAAAGUACUUUCAGAGAGGAGGCGUUAAUCGCAGAAGAAGCACCGGCUAACUCCGUGCCAGCAGCCGCGGUAAUUC
rnacentral:rRNA from 1 species